rnacentral:rRNA from 1 species
UAAUCGCGGAUCAGCACGCCGCGGUGAAUACGUUCCCGGGCCUUGUACACACCGCCCGUCACACCAUGGGAGUCUGCAAUGCCCAAAGCCGGUGGCCUAACCUUCGGGAAGGAGCCGUCUAAGGCAGGGCAGAUGACUGGGGUGAAGUCGUAACAAGGUAGCCGUAGGAGAACCUGCGGCUGGAUCACCUCCUUUCUAAGGAAGCG